rnacentral:rRNA from 1 species
GAUUAACGCUGGCGGCGUGCCUAACACAUGCAAGUCGAACGAGGUAGCAAUACCUAGUGGCAGACGGGUGAGUAACGCGUGGUCAACCUACCGUUGAGUGGGGGAUAACUAGCCGAAAGGUUAGCUAAUACCGCAUACGUCUCCGAGUGGCAUCACUUGGCGAUAAAAAGGAGCAAAUCCGCUCGAUGACGGGACCGCGUCCCAUUAGCUAGAUGGUGGGGUAACGCCUACCANGGCACCGAUGGGUAGCUGGUUUGAGAGAGCGACCAGCCACACUGGGACUGAGAAACGGCCCAGACUCCUACGGGAGGCAGCAGUGAGGAAUUUUCCGCAAUGGGCGCAAGCCUGACGGAGCGACGCCGCGUGUGGGAAGAAGGCCU